CCUACGGGUGGCAGCAGUGAGGAAUAUUGGUCAAUGGGCGGGAGCCUGAACCAGCCAAGUCGCGUGAGGGAAGACGGUCCUACGGAUUGUAAACCUCUUUUGCCGGGGAGCAGCGGGGUCCUUGCGAGGGCCCAAUGAGAGUACCCGGAGAAAAAGCAUCGGCUAACUCCGUGCCAGCAGCCGCGGUAAUACGGAGGAUGCGAGCGUUAUCCGGAUUUAUUGGGUUUAAAGGGUGCGUAGGCGGGCUGUUAAGCGUGCUGUGAAAUGUCCGGGCUCAACCCGGGCCUUGCAGCGCGAACUGGCGUGCUUGAGUCCGCGGAAAGCAGGCGGAAUUCGUCGUGUAGCGGUGAAAUGCUUAGAUAUGACGAAGAACCCCGAUUGCGAAGGCAGCUUGCUGCAGCGGAACUGACGCUGAUGCUCGAAAGCGCGGGUAUCGAACAGGAUUAGAUACCCUUGUAGUC
rnacentral:rRNA from 1 species